UAUUAAUCAAAGUUGACACGAGAAGUUGGAGCGAAUGCGAGAAGAGCAUGCGAUGAGCUGCCUGCCUGCUGCUGCCUACUGCCUACUCCUGCUGCUGCCGCUGCUGCUGUUGCAUCCAAUGUUGGGUAGCCAGCCACCCAUGUAUGUUGACACAGCCAGCAGCGGGCACCCAUGGCACAUGGGGAUGGACCCAGGAGUGGAGGAUGACCCAAUAGGAUGAACGUUCAGCCCACUCACUGUUGACACCAGUGACACAGUAUUGACCAGAUCUCCUGGAAGUGCCCCCUGACGCAGACCCAGUUGUUGGGUAGCCACCCAUGCAUGUUGACACAGCCAGCACCGAGCACCCA